GUACAUCGUACCGUGGUAAACUACAACAGGCUCAAACCUUACUCUGGGGUUGUUUCAAAGCAUCAAGUCACUGGCACGGGGACAAGAGACUGAGUUGAGAUGAGAGCUGACUUAUUUGUGCCUAGUCAGUCAUACUACCCUUCAAAGAAACACGGUACUCCUGAGGAAAAAGCAACCAAAGUUGCCUAGGUUACCCUUCUAGAGAAGGGUGGGGGGCAUUGUGAGACUGUGGGUUCCAAGGGAUGUUAAUGCCUUAGUGGAAUGGGAACUGGACACUGUCAGGACUGAAAGCUCAGUCGAAGACACAGAGACUCGUACCAUGCAAACGGAUGUAGGAAGAGCCUGUAAGUCAGCCUUGUUGGGAAGAGCCCGUAAGUCUGCCUUGUUGGGAAGAGCCUGUAAGUCUGCCUUGUUGGGAAGAGCCUUUAAGUCUGCCUUGUUGGGAAGAGCCUGUCAGUCAGCAUUGUUGGGAAGAGCCUGUCAGUCAGCAUUGUUGGGAAGAGCCCGUAAGUCAGCAUUGUUGGGAAGAGCCUGUCAGUCUGCAUUGUUGGGAAGAGCCUGUCAGUCAGCAUUGUUGGGAAGAGCCUGUCAGUCAGCAUUGUUGGGAAGAGCCCGUAAGUCUGCAUUGUUGGGAAGAUCCUGUAAGUCUGCAUUGUUGGGAAGAGCCUGUAAGUCUGUAUUGUUGGGAUGUGCUGUAAGUCUGCAUUGUUGGGAAAAGCCUGUAAGUCUGCAUUGUUGGGAAGGACCCGUAAAUCUGCAUUGUUGAGAAGCGCCCAUCAGACUGCAUUGUUGGGAAGGACCCCUUAAGUCUACAUUGUUAGGAAGAGCCUGUCAGUCUGCAUUGUUGGGAAGAGCCCCCCCGUCUAGAGUCCCCCCGUCUGAUAACCAGAAGGAAUGGGACACACCCCUAGCACCUCCACCUUCUUAGAUCUGCCCCUUGUGCAAAUAUCACCCUUGUGCAAACACACCAAAUGUGUUUGAUGGAUCGCGGGGAAAGAGCAGGAAUAGGUUUUGUAGGCCACUAUGUCUUCCAAUUGUUCGACUGCUGUCAUCAUCCAAAGAUUAUCCAAUUUGAAUAAACCCUUGGAGGAAACGCAACAAUGCUAUUCGCCUUUGUUAUUGAUGACGAAGUGGAUGCUUUCGAAAUUUCCCUUCUCCUGCACGAAGCUGAACAUGAUCAACACGGUCCAAGAAAUGAAUAUCCUGUUGAUGAGAACAUUUACAUACCAGCCCAAGCUCUUGUCUAAUGAUGAAUAAAAAAAAUAAAAGUAAAUUGUAUUUUCUCACAAUCCAGCCAGGUAGUGAGUGCUAGGCUACAUAGGCUACUCGAAUGAGAACAUAUACUGUUAAGUGUUUUUUUUUUUGCAGGAUAUAGGAUAUGCUUUAUUGUUUGUAAUUAUUUCAUACCCUUUUGUACCUUACUCAUGAUUAUUUAAGAUUGUGUAACAUAGAAUUGUACCAGAUGUGAUUAAAUGGAGUCCACAAAGA
ensembl:lncRNA